GGCAAGUAACCGGAGUUCAGCUGUAGCAGUUCUCUGCAUAUCAAUGGAAGUGCUCUUCAAGUCCUCAACCAACUUUUUAACUUGCUCCUCAAGUUCUGAUAGAUCAGCCCUUUUUUCAACUGUAGGGGAAGAAAUUAUUCUUGGAAACCUCUCAGAUGGUCUGCGCCAAAUCGCUUGAUUACGAGGUCUCGUCUCUAGUGUAGAUGGAAAUUCUGGCUCCCUUCGGGGGAUAGAAGCAGCAGGCUUGGAGUCCACUACAACAUCCCCUGAAGCAACAGCAGCAGCUUCUGGCUGUGAGGACAACUUAUUUCCAUCACUGGGAAUUACAGGGGAAAAGUUUGAAUUAGC
rnacentral:misc_RNA from 1 species